GGUAAAACAAUAGUUUGAGAAAAUGUUUGCACAAGUGUUUUGGGUGGACGAAGCCUGAUUCAAGGUUGUCCAGAUGGAAGACAUAUGAGUCAAAGAAGUGGGGGAAGGGGAAGAAGUUGGCGUAGUUUGGCCGUGAGAAGGGCCGCGGAUUUGUAGAGUGGAAUACAACGCUGAAAUAAAAGCUUUAUCAGCGUACGCAAAACGAUGUAUAACGGUUUGGGGAGCCAAGGAGAUUGACUGGAGCUAAACAGUGUGAACAAGAGCAAUAUAACGCCAAGCGGUCAAUAGCAACCAAAGCGCGAAACGAUAAGUGAUCAAUCAAAGGACGUUAUAUACUUUGUAUAUAGAAGAAUUGAUCGGCAAAGAGUGACAUUUAAAACCCUAAAUUUUUAAUGUGUGGAUGUGUAGAACGGGUUUAAUUUUCCUAAUUUUCUCUCCCUGCUGUAAUCAGUAUUUUAUGCCAUUAGGGUCAUGGAAUGCAUGGAUUGCGUGAAACUCGAAUAAAACUUGUUUUCAUACGGCGUUAAUCAAUAAGAGUAUCAAUCGUC